GACGAACGCUGGCGGCGUGCUUAACACAUGCAAGUCACGGGGGCCCGCAAGGGCAACCGGCGAACGGGUGCGUAACACGUGAGCAAGCUUCCGAUUAGUGGGGGAUAGCCGGCCCAACGGCCGGGUAAUACCGCAUACGUUCACUGGACGGCAUCGUCUGGUGAGGAAACCUCCGGGGCUAUCGAGGCGCUCGCGGCCUAUCAGCUAGUUGGCGGGGUAACGGCCCACCAAGGCUAUGACGGGUAGCUGGUCUGAGAGGAUGGCCAGCCACAUUGGGACUGCGACACGGCCCAGACUCCUACGGGAGGCAGCAGUGGGGAAUAUUGCGCAAUGGACGAAAGUCUGACGCAGCGACGCCGCGUGUGGGAUGAAGCUCUUCGGGGUGUAAACCACUGUUGCCCGGGACGAACCUCCCCUUUCGAGGGGACUGACGGUACCGGGUGAGGAAGCACCGGCUAACUCUGUGCCAGCCGCCGCCGUAACAC
rnacentral:rRNA from 1 species